AACCUGUAGGGAAGAAGCUCACCUCAUGCUGAGUUCGAUUCGUCUCGGAGCAUGCUGAUUAGAACAUCUUCGACACUUCUCGUAUAAACACGUAGUGCGUCAUCACGCUGCAAACGCUUAUCCCCGUUGGUGAUUCUCCUGUUUGUGUGAAAAAUUCGUUCAGUGUGGCACACAGUGUCGCGGUGCAGUGAAAAUACGUGCAAAUAAAGUUGAGCUAGCGAGCUUGCUAGUUUGGUAAUCGAUUUAACUCGAUUCCAGCAUCAGGAAAAAAGCGACGAUAAGCGACUGGUUCUUCAUCCACCGAGUCGACUUGACGAGGAGCGGCUGAAACGUGAGGAAAGCCCAAGCAAACCCCCCCAUUCUAUUCCUACCACAAACGCAGCGCAACAAACGCUCCAGUUCUCUCCUGCUAAUGAGACCGCAUCUCAGUUUCUCUCGGAUGUUUGCAUUGGAUGGGAAAAUGGGAUUAUAGGCUGCCAACGGCGACGUCGAUGGAAACGCAGAAAGGUGUUGUAGAAGCGCACCGAAUUAUUUCUUCCCACAACCCGGAGCUGUACGGUUGGAUUUUAAUUCGUUCAAAAAACGCCCUACUGGUAGCUAAUACAACCAUCCCGACAGGGAACGGGAACUUUUACAGAGCAAAAAAUAAAUAAAAUAAAACAUCCCAGGCCGUGAAGCACAGCACAGCGCACAAGGGUGCUAACUGGAUCAAGUAUAUAUCCUGGCCCCGAGGCAAUCCAACACACUCACACCAUCAAAGUGUCCCGCCUGUGACAACAUGUUCUCGCAUCCUCGGCGAAUUGGGAAAACGUCCUCACGUGUACGGCAAAAUGCCGACACUUACGUAACACCCUCAGUGGGUUGCUGAUGGGAGUCGCCGGAUGAGGCGGGGUGGGAAAAAGGACGAAGACUCGGAUUUCUCUUUUUGUUGCGCUUGAAAAAACAACACCCUUCCCUAUCCCGGUUGUGUCUUGUGGCGAUCGAACUGCGCUGUACGGUGUAAAUGUGUGUAAGCUUUAUGAUUGAGUUUUCUCUCGGUGUGUACAGAGCAGCUGAAACAGGAUCUAGAAUAUACUGUUGCAAUGGUUUUGCAAAAGAAUGCAGAAGGAGGAGGGGCGCAUGCUUUCAUCUGGCGUCGGUGAUGGAAUGUGCGAAUCAAGCAAAAAGUGCUGUAAAUCAUCGUUAAUUUGUGAAUAUUGGACGUAGUUUUGCGAGGGGAUGGAUUUGGCUUAUCGGUGGAUCGUAAAUUAUGUCGUAAAUCUUUGACGAACUUGCUCUCUGGCUUGAUGCUGUAGAUAAAC